UGUGAAUUUAAAUUUAAUCACUUACCUACAAUGCACCACAUAUGUUCCUAUACAUCUGUAUAUUUUAACUAGUUGUACUAUGCAAAUGCAGUAAACAGGGCUUUACAAAAGAGCACAAGUUCCUUAUAUGCCUUUUUUGGGUAACUAACUGCUGCAUCCUGUGGUAGUCAUAGAAGUGGAAGUUAUGCGGUUUCAAACUGAGCACUCGCUGUCCUGAGGAAGGAACACACAUUUGACUAGACCUUAUCUUCUGUAAAGAUGUGCUGCACAUCAAUUCAUCUCCUCAUUGGUGCCUUACUUGUCUUUGCUAUUGAAAAUGUGGCCACAGCCAGGGAAAACAGCACAGAAAAUAACACAGCUCCAGUUUCAGUGCCUUCAUACACCACCACCCAAUUCAAAGAAACAGACUUUACCAUUCCAAACGUCACUGUUACCCUGCCAAACAAGACGGCUGUGAAUACCACAUCAGCAUCAGAAUUGCCUACUCCACCUCCCCCAGAACGUCCGCAGACCAACAAUUUCACCACAGGCGAUUCUCUGAAGACCAUUGCACAAUCAAGCACAAUUAAUAUGAUCAAAAGCACAACUAUUAGCAAAGCAACUAUAACUACAGCAGUAAAAACUACAGUUUCGACAACAACGCAAUCGGGGACAAAAACUUUUAUAGUUAUCUUUAUUAUUGCCAUUCUGUGCCUUGCUGGGGUAUUAGUUUAUUGUUGCCUUAAAAAGAAAUCUAGGAAGUACUCUGUGGACUUACAUCCCAAACACGAAGAUGCUCAGAUCCCACUCAGCACAGUGGAUGCAGAGGUGUUUGACACCACAUCAGUCAAAGAAUCAGCUGAUGUUAAACAAGAAAACCAACAGAAUUUAUCCAGCACUCAGGCCACAGAGAACCCAAAGGAUAAAAUGGAGGGGCUGACCGUAGUGGAUCUGACUGAUGGAGAACCGACGAUCUCCACCAAAACCUCAAUGGAAUCCCUAGAUGAUGUUCUCAAUGAAAACAACAGCAACAAUACAAGAGAUCUCUGAACCUGACUGAUGGAUUGUACUGGAACUGGAAGUAACAGCUGAACUAAAUUCAUUGUUAGAACAACCUUGUUUUUGAAUAUACAUACAGCACUAAGAAAAGUCUCUGUAUACAUUUUCACUAGUCUUUACUCAUAUUUUAAAUGUCAUUGUGUGUUUUAUGGUUAAAAGGAAAUAUACAUAAACUUAAUGGAGUGCAACUUAAUGGAGAAACUUCUGCAGAUUUUUGUUCCUACAUUGUAUUUCAAUUAGCAUACUAUUACCUGUUAUGUUAGAUUUUAAUAUUGUAACUUGUUAAUUAUAAUUUUGUAAAUGUUCAACCAGCUUUUUAUUGUUGUUGGCUGUAUGUGUAAAUGAACAAUGUGUACUUUUUCCAUGUUAUUGCAGUAACCACAAAAUUAACUUGUCAGGUGUAUGUUCUGUCUGUAUUACUGUAAUAAAGCAAGUUUACUGUAGGAAAACUGUAUUAGAAACUGCUUUAAGUACCAAGCAGAUGCCAGCAUAGAUGCUUCCUUGACAAGCCUGUAAUAAAAGUUUUAUUUCUGGUUUGAAGUAGUUAAGAUUGCAUUUAUGAGUUGCCUCCUCCUACAAACUUUGAUACCAGAAUACAGACUAUCAGCUGUUUCGUGACAGUUGAAAGAACUUCAUACUCAACGAUAUUACAAUAAAUUAUAAUAAAAUGUUUUACUCAUCUAUAAUGUGUUGUCUCCGACAAAGUGUCUUAAUUUAAAUUUUACUAAACUUUUAUAUUGCCUCCAGUGGCAAAUUUCCAGAUAUUAAGUCAUGUUCUGGCCGCCCAUUUUACUUAUUACUACAGCUACAGUUCAACAGUAACCACAAAAUUAACUUGUCAGGUGUAUGUUCUGUCUGUAUUACUGUAAUAAAGCAAGUUUACUGUAGGAAAACUGUAUUAGAAACUGCUUUAAGUACCAAGCAGAUGCCAGCAUAGAUGCUUCCUUGACAAGCCUGUAAUAAAAGUUUUAUUUCUGGUUUGAAGUAGUUAAGAUUGCAUUUAUGAGUUGCCUCCUCCUACAAACUUUGAUACCAGAAUACAGACUAUCAGCUGUUUCGUGACAGUUGAAAGAACUUCAUACUCAACGAUAUUACAAUAAAUUAUAAUAAAAUGUUUUACUCAUCUAUAAUGUGUUGUCUCCGACAAAGUGUCUUAAUUUAAAUUUUACUAAACUUUUUAUAUUGCCUCCAGUGGCAAAUUUCCAGGUGCAUACUGGAACACCACAAACCAUGUGUGCUGUGUGAUAAAAGACAGGAAUUAGUUGUCACUUCAGAAAAUCAAACACCUGAACAUCAGAAGUCCUUGAACUGACAUGUUUAUAAAAACAAGAGGAAGAGGAAUGUGAGGAAGUUGUAGGUGAUGUAUAGUGAGGGCAUCUAUGCUGCCCUGUGGAUAAUAUCUAGAAUCUUAAAUCAAAAUCAUGAACAUAAAUAGAACAUAAAAUAAAUGAAAAAAAGAAUGCUUUUAAAAUACAAGAAGUAGAAUAGGUUGUGCUGAUAUUAUAUUUUUAAUAUUAAAUAAAUAAGGAAUAAUUGGCAAUGGGUCUUUGUGUUGUGGCCACAUUACCACCUCUGGUGUGCAUUAUUUUCUAAUUAUUCAGACCUGAGUCAAUUAUUCUGCUUAAGCUACAGUUACCACACAUCAAGACAUUGUUCAAAUGCA
rnacentral:lncRNA from 1 species